rnacentral:rRNA from 1 species
UGGGUAACCUGCCCUUGACUGGGGGACAACCGGAGGAAACUCCGGCUAAUACCGCAUGAUGUGCCUGCUUCUCAAGAGUGGGUACCAAAGCUCCGGCGGUCAAGGAUGGGCCCGCGGCGGAUUAGCUUGUUGGUGGGGUAACGGCCUACCAAGGCGACGAUCCGUGGCUGGUCUGAGAGGACGAUCAGCCACACUGGGACUGAGACACGGCCCAGACUCCUACGGGAGGCAG